AUUGAACGCUGGCGGCAGGCCUAACACAUGCAAGUCGAACGAGUGGCGGACGGGUGAGUAAUGUCUGGGAAACUGCCUGAUGGAGGGGGAUAACUACUGGAAACGGUAGCUAAUACCGCAUACCAUCGGAUGUGCCCAGAUGGGAUUAGCUUGUUGGUGGGGUAACGGCUCACCAAGGCGACGAUCCCUAGCUGGUCUGAGAGGAUGACCAGGAAAACGGGAACUGAGACACGGUCCAGACUCCGACGGUAUGCAGCAGUGGGGAAUAUUGCACAAUGGGCGCAAGCCUGAUGCAGCCAUGCCGGGUGUAUGAAGAAGGCCUUCGGGUUGUAAAGUACUUGCAGCGGGGAGGCGUUACCCGCAGAAGAAGCACCGGCUAACUCCGUGCCAGCAGCCGCGGUAAUUC
rnacentral:rRNA from 1 species